AAAGUAAUAAAGGAUCUUAAUAGAUGUUGCAGCAAGUCUUGAGAGCUAUUUAAUUGGGGAAGCCAUGCUUUUCAGUGGUAGAUCGCUGGGCAAGUUUUACUGGUGCAGCUGUAUCUUAUUUUCAAUACAGAACCAUUUAUUUAACUAAGAGAUAAUGAUUAGUGAUAUAUAUAGCAAUUGAUCAAUCAAGUUCGUCUAUAUGAUGAAAGCAAUCAGAUCGAGUUGCAGACCGUACGUGAAGAAGUGCAGCUAGCAAGCUUGAGCUUAACUACAUAUAUCAGUGCAAAAUUAAUUUCUAAUUAGAAGCGAUUCCAGUAGUCUCCACGUACUACUGUCCACUCUAUAUAUCAUGAUCGAUCGAGAUGAUUCAAAAGGUGUGGGUUGAAUGGAGGUUUUCAGCAUUAAACAUGUUAUUAAAUAUAUUGCUUGAAGAACUGGUGCAUCCAACAAUUAAGUUCCAUUCGAUAUGAUUGCAUCAUACAUGUCUUCGUUUUCUUCGGCCAUCUCUCUCUCUCUCUCUCUCUCUCUCUCUCUCUCUCUCUCUCUCUCCAUACACAGCAGCUGCAAGCUUGAACCUUAUAUUCCCGAUUGCUUGCUAGCAAAGGCAACUAUAUAUCAAUCGAUCAUCAAUAAUGCACGAUUCAUGCAAUAAGUCGUCGAGUGUCCCUUAAUUGUGCAAUGUAAUGGAAAAUGGACCCUCUAGCUAAAUUUUAGUAAAUAUCGAUCAAACCCAAAUUUAUGAAUCGAGUAUGCUAGGCCUACUUCAUUCAGAGAAACUUUC
rnacentral:lncRNA from 1 species